rnacentral:lncRNA from 1 species
CUCAGCAUGUGGCUUUUGAUGGACCUGUUGGUCCUUUCCUCUGGCCUGGACCAUAACAUCCCAAGAGGUUAGUGCUGCCUUGCCCGACAUGUUCAGCAUCCUGCUGAUAGCACCGAAGCUGCCAGACCUACGGGACAUCACCAGGCAAAGAAAGGGAGGAGCAGAGCUCUGGCAAAGGACAUGGCUCUUGCCAAGGCCUGGUGGUCGGAUGGAGCAGGAAGCACAGCUGGCACAGAGAGGAGCUCCUGCAGCUAGCAUGGGAGUGAAGCACAGGGGAGGGUGCCAGAGCCCAAAGUCACGUGGUACAAGGUCUGGUGAGGAAAGUGGACGAGGACACGUGGAAUGUUUUCGUGGCCGACAUUACGUCGUGACAUCCACUGCGUUUUUUACUCACACCUCGUAAAGACAGUCAGGAAGCCUUCCAGAGCUGCCUCAGAAAGUGGGAAGAAAGAUGGGGUAAGUGCUUUUGAGAGAGAUUAAUGACAA